AAAAAGGCCCUUUUCAGGGCCACCACAAUUUCUGAUUAGACUCUUCU
rfam:Asian citrus Psyllid, Diaphorina citri - Florida Strain, whole genome shotgun sequence.